CGGUGAGAACGCGCUGUCGCAACAAUACCUAGAAGGAGAGCGAACGUGCGCUGCAGCAGAAAUCUAUUUUAAAUCAUAUGCAUUCAUAUGGAAGAUGGCGGUGGAGCUUUGCAUUAAAUGACAGCCCCAUAAGAAGAGUUUAGAAGAUCUGUGAAGUGGAAGAAGGGCUGGCGACACCAGGGUGCCGACUGACGGUGAUGAAGCCAGUGGAGCAGGAGCCCAGGGCGGAGACGAGUAGACGGAGAGCCAAGGUGAUACAGAGGAUCCGGAAGGCCAAGGUGGAACUGGCGGCUCAGUCGACCGUGGCGUGGAUCCGGAAGACCGCGGAGGAGCCAGAACGACUGAGAACGAAGGUGGAGCCAAAGGGAAGGAGCCUGACAGAGCCAUAGGGGCGGAGUGACGAGGCUGAUGGUCGACGACUGACCAAGGUGGAGUUGGAGGGACGAGAGGAGCCUGGUGGAGCUGGUGGGAUGAUGGGCCACAGUGGAGAUGAGGGAGCCAAGGUGAAGCUGAAGGGUCGAAGGGCAGAGGUGGAGUCCAGGUCUUGGAGGCUGGAGGAGUAGACAUGGGAUACUCAACACCCGAGGUAGCUGGCAGCUGGAGAUCCCGAAGCUCAUUCAAACCAACGGCACAGGCAUGCCUAGGGUGAGCUGAGGUGUCUCCAGAUGCCAGCAGACCCAGGGCUGAUGGACUGGCUGGCAACGAUAGAGGAGGCAGGAGUGACAAUCUGGGAGGGACCUUCUCUGAGGCUGGAAAUGAGGUGCUGGCUGACAAAGGGGGGCUGGGCGGGACCAGCGGGGACUUGGAAGAAGUGGAAGAGCUGGACGGGACCAGCAGGGAAGGGAGCAGCCAGAAAUUCUCUUCAUUAGCCCAGUCAAAAAUGGCAGAGUCCAGCAGCAGUUCACCCUCUGCAGCGAGAGUGGGGCCCUCGAUCUCCACCAGUACUCCCACGGUGACACACGGUGUUGCCGGCUCACGCACCUGGUCAGAUGUCUCUUGAGGCUCAGGCUCUGGGGGCGAUGAUCAGCUCGUAGCUGGUUUACGCGGUGGCUCUCGUGUAGCGGCAGGCUCAGGUUCUCUGUCUGCGGUGGGCUCAGGCUCAGUGCAGCAGGAUGGCAGUUUGCUAGUCUCUGGUUCGGGAGUGGGGCUGGCGAUAUAAUAAAUAAAAAAUAAAAUGAAAGAAAGAUGCCGGAGAGUACACACAGGAACAUAAACAAACAAUACCAGACAAUGAACCAAUGCAAACACAGGGUUUAAAUACAUUGGGAAACACAAUCAGGCAGAACAGAAACAGGUGUGGGGCAAUUAACAACCAAGGGAAUAAACGAGGUAGGAGAACAGAACACUGAAAACUAAACCAAAACAGUGAGUACAUGUGACACCAAUAGACAUGUGGAUCUCACUUGUCAGCCCUUCAGCCCAAAGUUAAUGAAACGAUUAAAAUGAAAUGAAGACCUUGCGUUUUGCGUGGAUGAUUCAUAGUUCUUAAUACAUGCUUGUUCAUUGAAGUGGAGAAGCGGAAGAGACACUUUAUUUUCAUUGUUUGAUGCUGUGAAUAUGCAAUGAGACUGCCGUGGGAGAAAAAUUAUGAAAGGCUGUCUGUAUUUUUGAUGCACUGACAAUGUUUUCAUUGAAUCUUGUGCUUCAAAAGUUGUGCACAUAGAAUUGUCUAUGUAUUCCGAUGUUGUUAGUAUUCAAGAGAGAUGCCGGUGUCACUGAGCCAAUUCACAUCUGCUGUCAGCUCAGAUAUCAGCAAAAUAUUCAAAACGCAUCUAAAAUUCACAAUACAAUAAUCUCAUUCCGGCGAAAACCUCCAGCGUGGAAAAUUUCAGGAGAGUCGUAAGGUGACCUACCUGAUCUCAACAAGCAAAGACAGUGCAAUUUCAGUAACAACAGGACAGAGAAGCGGAAAUAACUCUGGGGAGGUUAUCUGACAGACCUCCUGCUGCGAUGCCGCCAUGUGCAAUGCCUCCUGAGACGUUUGGGAAAUCAGAGAAAAAGAGAGUUUCCAUCACAAUUCCUCAGAGAGACGUGUUCCUCUGACACGUCCAAUUAGCUGUCAUGGUGUCAGUCAAGUGUCAGUCCACCAAGAAAUGUUGCCUCUAAAAACAUCAUAAUAAAGGCAGAAUAACCUGACCCAGUUUUUCGCUCGACGCGCUGAUCGAGCCCUUUCACAUCAACCUAUCUGUUACAUGAAAGAGAGGACGUGUCACAGCCAGACAAGAGCAGAGAUUGAGAAAAAACACUUGGUUUAGAGGAAAUCCAGAGUAACAUCAUUGAUCGAGCGUGGCUGGGUGUCAGAAGCGUUUUGUAUCUGGCAGAGUGGAUAACACUGAACCGUUCAUCAGCGCUGCAGCGGCGGAGACAGUCAACCCUGUUCUCUGACCUCCUGCUACUGCUUGUUGUGACAUUUGCUGGCUAAAUCAGGAGAACCUAUAUAAAGUGACCUGGUUUAUCAGCAGCAGUCUGUGGAGAUCUUUGAGAAGUGACGCUGUGCUAUGUCCUGUCAGGCAGUUUUGGAGAGGCGUCAGGACUCAAGCUGAAGACGCCACCUGCUCAGUCUCCAUGGCCUGCGCUCUCCUUCUCUCUCCUCUAUUAGACUGAACCGUCCCCUGCUCCAGUUUACAUCAGAGCACAGCAGUGAAGGACUGCAGUCACACCAGCUGUCCAAGUGGACACGAGAAGGAUGAGACAGCUGACACACACACACACACACACACACACACUGAUGCUCAGGGUUAAAGAUGGAAACAAUUUCUGUGUCUCCCAUUAAAAAGAUUCUAGUGGGAUUUAUUAAUUGAAAAUAAAAUGUAAACGUGUGCAAAACUACUCGAUUCAUUUCUCAAAGACUGAACCUGCUAAUUUAAUUGAAACAAGCCAGCAUUCACAGCACGCGAAUUAAAGCAAGCGCGACUGGGAAAUGUUAAAUAGCUUUUAGAGCGCCGGGGAGAACAGAGAUUUAUAUUGGCCAGUAAUAGGCUUCACUGGCUACAUACACACUGCAGAUAAAUAAGAGAGUCACUUCCCUUCUGAAUGUUUAAAGGAAUAUUUUGACAACAUUUGGGUCUCAUAAGGACAACGUUUGUCAUUUCGGGAAAGUACAACCAACAAUCACAAAAAUGAUCUACUGAAAGUGGAGGUUCAGGAAGAGACUACAUUUUAUUUAAAGUACACAUUUUGAAAUGUCACAGCCAUGAGGCAUGAUGCUACUUGCUUGUUAUCAUGAUAUGUUUCUCGAGGGAACAACAAUCUCAUUAUGGACUGGUCACAAUGGUCGAUUAGUUGCCCAACAACUGAGUAGUCAGUGAAAGAUUUACCAGUUCAUCCUUAUUUUUUUUCUUUUAGUAAAAAAGUACUUUAAAGGACUGCCUUUGCACCCUAAC